GGCUCUGUGGCGCAAUGGAUAGCGCAUUGGACUUCUAAUUCAAAGAUUGUGGGUUCGAAUCCCACCAGAGUCG
rnacentral:tRNA from 1 species